rnacentral:rRNA from 1 species
UACGUAGGGGGCAAGCGUUGUCCGGAAUCAUUGGGCGUAAAGAGCGUGUAGGCGGCCAGAUAAGUCCGCUGUGAAAUCUCGAGGCUCAACUUCGAGCUGUCGGUGGAAACUGUCUGGCUAGAGUCCGGAAGAGGAGAAUGGAAUUCCUGGUGUAGCGGUGAAAUGCGUAGAUAUCUGGAGGAACACCGGUGGCGAAGGCGGCAUCCUGGACCGGCAUUGACGCUGAGGCGCGAAAGCCAGGGGAGCAAACGGG